rnacentral:rRNA from 1 species
AUUGAACGCUGGCGGCAGGCCUAACACAUGCAAGUCGGGCGUGCGGCGGACGGGUGAGUAAUGUAUGGGGACCUGCCUGAUGGCGGGGGUUACCUUCUGGAAACGGUAGCUAAUCCCCCAUACCUUCAGAUGAACCCAUAUGUGCUUGGCUAGUAGGUGAGGUAACGGCUUACCUAGGCGACGAUCCCUAGCUGUUCUGAGAGGAUGAUGAGCCACACGGGGACUGAGACACGGCCCAGACUCCUACGGGAGGAAGAAGUGGGGAAUAUUGCACAAGGGGCGCAAGCCUGAUGAAGAAAGGCCGCGGAUAUGAAGAGGGUCUGGGGGUGGAAAAGUACUUUCAGUCGGGAGGCGUUAACGAAAGAGGAAGCACCGGCUAACUACGUGCCAGCAGCCGCGGUAAUUC